rnacentral:rRNA from 1 species
UACAGAGGUCUCAAGCGUUGUUCGGAUUCAUUGGGCGUAAAGGGUGCGUAGGCGGCGCGGUAAGUCGGGUGUGAAAUCUCGGAGCUUAACUCCGAAACUGCAUUCGAUACUACCGUGCUUGAGGACUGGAGAGGAGACUGGAAUUUACGGUGUAGCGGUGAAAUGCGUAGAUAUUGGGAGGAACACCAGUGGCGAAGGCGGCUCACUGGACCGGUACUGACGCUGAUGCGCGAAAGCGUGGGGAGCAACGGG